UACGAGGGGGGCAAGCGUUGUUCGGAAUUAUUGGGCGUAAAGAGCUCGUAGGCGGUUUGUUGCGUCGGCUGUGAAAUCCCGAGGCUCAACCUCGGGUCUGCAGUCGAUACGAGCAAACUAGAGUGUUGCAGGGGAGACUGGAAUUCCUGGUGUAGCGGUGAAAUGCGCAGAUAUCAGGAGGAACACCGGUGGCGAAGGCGGGUCUCUGGGCAACAACUGACGCUGAGGAGCGAAAGCGUGGGGGAGCGAACAGG
rnacentral:rRNA from 1 species